rnacentral:tRNA from 1 species
UUCCUUUUAGCUUAAUAUGAAAGUAUCAGUUUGAAGGUCUGGGGAUAUCCUUGUGUGUUAGAGG